AUUGAACGCUGGCGGCAGGCCUAACACAUGCAAGUCGAGCGAGCGGCGGACGGGUGCGUAAUGUAUGGGGAACUGCCCGAUAGAGGGGGAUAACUACUGGAAACGGUGGCUAAUACCGCAUACUAUCGGAUGAACCCAUAUGGGAUUAGCUAGUAGGUGGGGUAAAGGCUAACCUAGGCGACGAUCCCUAGCUUGUCUGCGAGGAUGAAGAGCAAGACGGGGACUGAGACACGGCCCAGACUUCUAAGGGAGGCAGCAGUGGGGAAUAGUGAACAAUUGGCGCAAGCCUGAUGAAGCCAUGCCGCGGGUAUGAAGAAGGCCUUAGGGUUGUAAAGUACUUUCAGCGGGGAGGCGUUACCCGAAGAAGAAGCACCGGCUAACUCCGUGCCAGCAGCCGCGGUAAUUC
rnacentral:rRNA from 1 species